rnacentral:rRNA from 1 species
UUUGAUACUGUCAGUCUAGAGUAUAGUUGAAGUUGGCGGAAUGUGUCAUGUAGCGGUGAAAUGCUUAGAUAUGACACAGAACACCGAUCGCGAAGGCAGCUAGCUAAGCUAUAACUGACGCUCAUGCACGAAAGCGUGGGGAUCAAACAGGAUUAGAUACCCUGGUAGUCCACGCUGUAAACGAUGAUUACUCGAUGUUGGCGAUACACAGUCAGCGUCUGAGCGAAAGCAAUAAGUAAUCCACCUGGGGAGUACGAUCGCAAGAUUGAAACUCAAAGGAAUUGACGGGGGCCCGCACAAGCGGAGGAGCAUGUGGUUUAAUUCGAUGAUACGCGAGGAACCUUACCUGGGCUCGAACGUAAGAUGACUGUAGGUGAAAGCUUACAUCUCUUCGGAGCAUUUUACGAGGUGCUGCAUGGUUGUCGUCAGCUCGUGCCGUGAGGUGUCGGGUUAAGUCCCAUAACGAGCGCAACCCCUACCUUUAGUUGCCAUCAGGUCAUGCUGGGGACUCUAAAGGAACUGCCUACGCAAGUAGUGAGGAAGGCGGGGAUGACGUCAAAUCAGCACGGCCCUUACGUCCAGGGCUACACACGUGCUACAAUGGCCGAUACAGAGGGCAGCUACCUGGUGACAGGAUGCAAAUCUCCAAAGUCGGUCUCAGUUCGGAUCGGAGUCUGCAACCCGACUCCGUGAAGUUGGAUUCGCUAGUAAUCGCGCAUCAGCCAUGGCGCGGUGAAUACGUUCCCGGGCCUUGUACACACCGCCCGUCAAGCCAUGGAAGCUGGGGGGACCUAAAGUCGAUAACCGCAAGGAGUCGCCUAGGGUAAAACCAGUGACUGGGGCUAAGUCGUAACAAGGUAGCCG